CCUACGGGGGGCAGCAGUGAGGAAUAUUGGUCAAUGGCCGGAAGGCUGAACCAGCCAAGUCGCGUGAGGGACGACUGCCCUAUGGGUUGUAAACUUCUUUUAUAUGGGAAUAACAUGUUCCACGUGUGGGAUUUUGUAUGUACCAUAUGAAUAAGGAUAGGCUAACUCCGUGCCAGCAGCCGCGGUAAUACGGAGGAUCCGAGCGUUAUCCGGAUUUAAUGGGUUUAAAGGGAGCGUAGGUGGAUUGUUAAGUCAGUUGUGAAAGUUUGCGGCUCAACCGUAAAAUUGCAGUUGAAACUGGCAGGCUUGAGUACAGUAGAGGUGGGCGGAAUUCGUGGUGUAGCGGUGAAAUGCUUAGAUAUCACGAAGAACUCCGAUUGCGAAGGCAGCUCACUGGACUGCAACUGACACUGAGGCUCGAAAGUGUGGGUAUCAAACAGGAUUAGAUACCCUAGUAGUC
rnacentral:rRNA from 1 species